rnacentral:rRNA from 4 species
UUUUGACCUCGGAUCAAGUAGGGAUACCCGCUGAACUUAAGCAUAUC